GACGAACGCUGGCGGCGUGCUUAACACAUGCAAGUCGAACGAAGUGGCGAACGGGUGAGUAACGCGUAAUCAACCUGCCCCUCAGAGGGGGAUAACAGUUGGAAACGCCUGCUAAUACCGCAUACUGAAGGAGGGGUUUGCGUCUGAGUGGCUAGUUGGAGGGGUAACGGCCCACCAAGGCGAUGAUCAGUAGCCGGUCUGGGAGGGGGAACAGCCAAAUGUGGACUGAAAAACGGCCCAGACUCCGUAGGGAGGCAGCAGGGGGGAAUCUUCCGCAAAGGACGAAAGUCUGACGGAGCAACGGGGGGGGGAAUAUGACGGCCUUCGGGGUGUAAAGCUAUGUUAAUCGGGACGCGGUACCAAAAUAGAAAGCCACGGCUAACUACGUGCCAGCCGCCGAGGUAAUAC
rnacentral:rRNA from 1 species